rnacentral:rRNA from 1 species
GAUGAACGCUGACAGAAUGCUUAACACAUGCAAGUCAACUUGAACUUCGGUUUGGGUGGCGGACGGGUGAGUAACGCGUAAAGAACUUGCCUCACAGCUAGGGACAACAUUUGGAAACGAAUGCUAAUACCUGAUAUUAUGAUUUUAGGGCAUCCUAGAAUUAUGAAAGCUAUAUGCGCUGUGAGAGAGCUUUGCGUCCCAUUAGCUAGUUGGAGAGGUAACGGCUCACCAAGGCGAUGAUGGGUAGCCGGCCUGAGAGGGUGAACGGCCACAAGGGGACUGAGACACGGCCCUUACUCCUACGGGGGGCAGCGGUGGGGAAUAUUGGACAAUGGACCAAGAGUCUGGUCCAGCAAUUCUGUGUGCACGAUGAAGUUUUUCGGAGUGUAAAGUGCUUUCAGUUGGGAAGAAAAAAAUGACGGUACCAACAGAAGAAGUGACGGCUAAAUACGUG